GGGAAUAGUUCAAUGGUAGAGCAGCGGUCUCCAAAACCGUAGAUGGGGGUUCGAGCCCCUCUUCCC
rnacentral:tRNA from 10 species